GAUGAACGCUGGCGGCGUGCCUAAUACAUGCAAGUCGAGCGAACGGACGAGAAGCUUGCUUCUCUGAUGUUAGCGGCGGACGGGUGAGUAACACGUGGAUAACCUACCUAUAAGACUGGGAUAACUUCGGGAAACCGUAGCUAAUACCGGAUAAUAUUUUGAACCGCAUGGUUCAAAAGUGAAAGACGGUCUUGCUGUCACUUAUAGAUGGAUCCGCGCUGCAUUAGCUAGUUGGUAAGGUAACGGCUUACCAAGGCAACGAUGCAUAGCCGACCUGAGAGGGUGGUCGGCCACACUGGAACUGAGACACGGUCCAGACUCCUACGGGAGGCAGCAGUAGGGAAUCUUCCGCAAUGGGCGAAAGCCUGACGGAGCAACGCCGCGUGAGUGAUGAAGGUCUUCGGAUCGUAAAACCCUGUUAUUAGGGAAGAACAUAUGUGUAAGUAACUGUGCACAUCUUGACGGUACCUAAUCAGAAAGCCACGGCUAACUACGUG
rnacentral:rRNA from 1 species